AAUACAAGCGCCGGAACUGAGUGCAGGCAGUUGACGAGGUGGAAGUCAUCGAAAAUUCGGCGGAUGCUUCCAGCCCCGCACAGGGAACCGUCCUAACAAACCCUCCGAGUGAUCGGAGAAACAAAGCAGGCGGAA
rnacentral:ncRNA from 1 species